rnacentral:rRNA from 1 species
GACCUCGGAUCAGGUAGGGAUACCCGCUGAACUUAAGCAUAUCAAUAAGGGAGGAAAAGAAACCAACAGGGAUUGCCUCAGUAACGGCGAGUGAAGCGCAACAGCUCAAAUUUGAAAUCUGGCCCCGUCGGGGUCCGAGUUGUAAUUGUAGAGAGUGUUUCGGGUGAGACCACGGUCUAAGUCCAUUGGAACAUGGGUCAUAGAGGGUGAGAAUCCCGUAUGUGACUGUGGCUCGAGCCCAUGUGAGCCUCUUCGACGAGUCGAGUUGUUUGGGAAUGCAGCUCAAAAUGGGUGUAAAUUUCAUCUAAAGCUAAAUACUGGCUGGAGACCGAUAGCGCACAAGAGAGUGAUCGAAAGAUGAAAAGCACUUGAAAGAGAUCAAAAAGCCCUCGUGCAAUGCGGCCAGCCGGGACCGAGGACCGCGCUUCGGCUAGGAUGCUGCGUAAUGGUUGUAAGCGACCCGUCUUGAAACACGGACCAAGGAGUCUAAAUCAAUGCGAGUGUUUGGGUGUCAAACCCAUGCGCGGAAUGAAAGUGAAGGAGGUGAGAACCCUUUAGGGCGCAUCAUCGACCGAUCCAGAUGUCUUCGAUGGAUUUGAGUAUGAGCAUUGCUGUUGGGACCCGAAAGAUGGUGAACAUGCCUGAAUAGGGUGAAGCCAGAGGAAACUCUGGUGGAGGCUCGCAGCGUUCUGACGUGCAAAUCGAUCGUCAAAUUUGGGUAUAGGGUACGUUAUUGUUUUUUUAGACAUUACUUAGGAUCAAUACUAACUCUUUGAUACAGGGCAAAGACUAAUCGAACCAUUACCCCGGUAGUAAAGUAUACGCUACAGGUGUUGAUAAGAGCAUCCCGCGUUGCGGCUUGCUCUCAGUCCUUCGGGGCGAAUCACUACUUGCAUGAACAGACCUUCGGGUUGACAUGCUGCAGUUCUCCCACUCCUGUGGGCCUUCUGUUCACAGACCAAAUAGUGGUGGCCGGGCUCUUCACGGGGAGCCUGGUUUAGAAAUGGCCGAGUCCUACUCAUAAUCGAGCGGUCCUGGGGACGGUGGACUCGCAGUUCUCGACUCGAGUCCCCUAAACGGGA